ensembl:lncRNA
AGUGUAGUGUGGUGUGGUGUAGUGUAGUGUAGUGUGUAGUGUAGUGUGUAGUGUAGUGUAGUGUAGUGUAGUGUGUGUGUAGUGUAGUGUAGUGUAGUGUAGUGUGGUGUAGUGUAGUGUGUGUAGUGUGUAGUGUGUAGUGUAGUGUAGUGUAGUGUGUGUGUGGUGUGGUGUAGUGUAGUGUGUGUUGUGUGUAGUGUGUAGUGUAGUGUAGUGUAGUGUAGUGUGGUGUAGUGUAGUGUAGUGUAGUGUAGUGUGUGUUGUAGUGUGUAGUGUGGUGUAGUGUAGUGUGGUGUAGUGUAGUGUAGUGUAGUGUGUAGUGUAGUGUGUAGUGUGGUGUAGUGUAGUGUAGUGUAGUGUAGUGUGGUGUGUGUGUAGUGUAGUGUAGUGUAGUGUAGUGUAGUGUAGUGUGUGUGUGUAGUGUAGUGUGGUGUAGUGUAGUGUAGUGUAGUGUGUGUGGUGUAGUGUGGUGUAGUGUAGUGUAGUGUAGUAUGGUGUGGUGUAGUGUAGUGUAGUGUAGUGUAGUGUAGUGUGUGUGGUGUAGUGUGGUGUAGUGUAAUGUAAUGUAGUGUAGUGUAGUGUGUGUGUGUGGUGUAGUGUGGUGUAGUGUGUGUGUGUGUGGUGUAGUGUGUGUGUGUAGUGUAGUGUGUGUGUAGUGUGGUGUGGUGUGGUGUGGUGUAGUGUGUGUGUGUGUAGUGUAGUGUAGUGUGUGUGUAGUGUGGUGUGUAGUGUGUAGUGUAGUGUAGUGUAGUGUAGUGUAGUGUGGUGUAGUGUGGUGUAGUGUGUGCUAGAUUUGGUCUGCCCAAUGUGGACUCAAUCCCUCUGAUCUGAACAAAGAGAGAACACAAAUGUCCAUCCCCUCGCCAGUUUUUUGCUCUCCUCCCUCUCUCUCUGUUUUCAUGUCGUUGUUGUUGUUGUUGUUUUUGGGGGGUGCCCAGUUGUGCUGCUACUGUUCCCUAUCAUCCUGCUCCAUGUCUCUCUCUCUCUCUCUCUCUCUCUCUCAUCCUGCUCCAUGUCUCUCUCUCUCUCUCUCUCUCUCUCUCUCUCUCUUUCAUCCUGCUCCAUGUCUAUCUCUCUCUCUCCCUCUCUCUCUCUCUCUCUCUCUCAUCCUGCUCCAUGUCUAUCUCUCUCCUUUUCCACUUCUCUGUGUUCAUCCGUUGCUUUUUCUGGGAUGUUUCACUUGUUUCUUUGUCUGUCUGUGCCACUAUCGCUCCCACACCCUCUCAUCCACCCCUCUCCCCCUUUUUUUAGCAUCAACACCAUGUGCUGUUCCCACAUCUCUCUCUCUCUCUCUCUCUCAUUCUAUUUCUCUCUCUCUCUCUCUCAUUUCUCUGGUCUCUCUUUCUCUCCCACUUUCAGCAGCGACAUCAUGCAUUGUUCUCACAUUUUGUUUAUGCCCAGCUGUUUCAUACCCAAGAUUUUAAUCCCAAAUCCCACCCCUCUGUCCCC